rnacentral:rRNA from 1 species
AGAACGAACGCUGGCGGCAUGCCUAACACAUGCAAGUCGAACGAGACCUUCGGGUCUAGUGGCGCACGGGUGCGUAACGCGUGGGAAUCUGCCCUGGGGUACGGAAUAACAGUGAGAAAUUACUGCUAAUACCGUAUGAUGACGUAAGUCCAAAGAUUUAUCGCCCUGGGAUGAGCCCGCGUAGGAUUAGCUAGUUGGUGGGGUAAAGGCCUACCAAGGCGACGAUCCUUAGCUGGUCUGAGAGGAUGAUCAGCCACACUGGGACUGAGACACGGCCCAGACUCCUACGGGAGGCAGCAGUGGGGAAUAUUGGACAAUGGGCGAAAGCCUGAUCCAGCAAUGCCGCGUGAGUGAUGAAGGCCUUAGGGUUGUAAAGCUCUUUUACCCGGGAAGAUAAUGACUGUACCGGAGAAUAAGCCCGGCUAACUCCGUGCCAGCAGCCGC